UUUAUUUUCAGGGUUUAGUGAAGGUGGGUCAUUUUUUACCCUUGGGACAAUGGGAGUAAACAGACUGCUAAGACUACACAAGGGUUAAGUCAAGUAUUUACAAGGUGUCUAGUCAUUUCUGGUCGUUAAUGUCUAAUUGACCACACAUUAGUGCAAGUUGAAGUGUUGUCAGUGCUACACAGGUGUCUGUAGUCUAGGUGCUCGUUAUAAGUGCUUGAAAUCAUAGAUUGCUGUGUUCCAGAGCAUCAAGACCGUGAUCGAAGGGUCAAUUGUGACUGAAUUACUGAGCUACUAAUAAUAUUAAGUAGUUAUUUAUAAGUCAAGGUUACUCUAAAUCACUCUCGACUCGCCUUAAAAGUCAUCUGCAAUGUGGAACGUCCAACAAUUCAUUGACACAGUUGUGACUGACUCCUUCAUAGCCGUCGGCCAGCUCUUUCACAUCCACCAUCUAAUUGAGGUGAAAGGACAGAAAUGUUGAAAGUGUGUUUUCUGCAGCACCAGUAAGGACCGUUCUCCUAUGAUGUAGUCGACCCUAUCAGAAAACAUUUACUCACUUUUUGCUUUUAUACAAAAAACAUGCCAUUUCUCCAUUUUGGUGAAAAGUGGGCCAUUAGCUAAACCACAACCUUCCUGUCCAAAGACCUUCAUGAACUACUGAAACUAUAUCUGACAGUUUGGGGAGGAAUUCAUUCUAACGGGUGAAAAUGAACCAGGUCUUUUCUGUGUAUGUGCCGGUCUUUAAGCAUAAAUGUAAAUAUAUAAAAUAUACUAAUAA